AUUUCUAAGUCGAUUUACUUGAUGUUUUUUCGGAAAUGUUUUAUCUUUAUUGAUCAUUAUGCUAAAUAUUUACUAUCCUGAGACUUGUUGGCAAGGCUGCUAUCCCAUCAUAGAUUAUUUGUUCACUUUCAAAAUUACUUGCAAGAAAAACUACGAGUUAGUGACGGCUUCAUCCAUAGAAUUUCCAAAUUCCUUAUCCAUAAUUGGAGGAGCAAAAUUUCAAAGGAAUAGCCGGUCAUUGAAUAUGAAGAUCUAGAUGUCGUUCAAGGCUUCUCUUAUCCUCGAUAAAGUCGUGCAUCUUGUCAAUUCUUCAGUGUUCUAAAAUCUCCAAUUAGCCAGUUGGAUGGGAGAACUUUAUGUAUUGAAGCCCUUUUAUAUGCUUGGAUUUUGGAAAUAGUCUUGGCACAAUACUUUGCUUAUUAUCAUGGCACGACAGGUGGACUUGACAACAAGAAUUCAAGUAUUUAACUUUCUCUAUAGAAGAAUAAGUUUCUUACAAUUGUAAACUAUCUAAAAUUAAUUUUAAUUAAAAUGGCUAGAUUCUGUACCAUCAUGCAGGGAACUUCAAUACAUUUUGUAGCAAAAUUUCCAAAUUCUUAAUAUCUUUAAAAUUUUUCUGUUAAGUUAGAAUUAUUUCGAAUGAAACGGACAAACUAUCGAAGCCAUAUACUCUUUAUGGCAGUUGGUCUCUAACAUUUUAUUACCAAACCUCGUGUUGUCGGAAUCGGAAACUGUAAAUCCGAUUCUAAUCUCCUAAACUAUCCAUUAAACCUCUAAACGAAAGAUCCUUCGUAUUCUUUUUAACAUGCUUCAGAUAUAAUACCUGAAAUUCUUGUAACAGAUCCACAAAAUCCUUUGUCUGAAAUUCAACUAGUGCGGCUAUU